GACAGAGGUGCCGAGCGUUAGGCGGAAUCACUGGGCUUAAAGCGUGUGUAGGCGGAUCCGUAAGUACCUUGUGAAAUCCCACGGCUCAACCGUGGAACUGCUGGGUAUACUGCGGAUCUUGAGCCACCUAGGGGCGAGCGGAACAAGUGGUGGAGCGGUGAAAUGCGUAGAUAUCACUUGGAACGCCAAUGGUGAAAACAGCUCGCUGGGGGUGUGCUGACGCUGAGACACGAAAGCGUGGGGAGCGAACGGG
rnacentral:rRNA from 1 species